CACUUCUUGAGAGUGGUCUAUCAAGCAAGAACGAAUUAUGAUGAGGUCCUUCAAUAAAGGUAUUCUAUGGUUCGUGGGAGCGCUUGUCAUUCUCUUCAUGUUAGAAGAUACAACUGUAGCUAUCAUUCCGUUGUCUAAAGGGCC